CCUAGUAACGGCGAGUGAAGCGGCAACAGCUCAAAUUUGAAAUCUGGCUCUUUUAGAGUCCGAGUUGUAAUUUGCAGAGGGCGCUUUGGCUUUGGCAGCGGUCCAAGUUCCUUGGAACAGGACGUCACAGAGGGUGAGAAUCCCGUACGUGGUCGCUAGCUAUUGCCGUGUAAAGCCCCUUCGACGAGUCGAGUUGUUUGGGAAUGCAGCUCUAAAUGGGAGGUAAAUUUCUUCUAAAGCUAAAUACUGGCCAGAGACCGAUAGCGCACAAGUAGAGUGAUCGAAAGAUGAAAAGCACUUUGGAAAGAGAGUCAAACAGCACGUGAAAUUGUUGAAAGGGAAGCGCUUGCAGCCAGACUUGCUUGCAGUUGCUCACCCGGGCCUCUGUGCCCGGUGCAUUCUUCUGCAGGCAGGCCAGCAUCAGUUUGGGCGGUGGGAUAAAGGUCUCUGUCACGUACCUCUCUUCGGGGAGGCCUUAUAGGGGAGGCGACAUACCACCAGCCUGGACUGAGGUCCGCGCAUUUAUGCUAGGAUGCUGGCGUAAUGGCUGUAAGCGGCCCGUCUUGAAACACGGACCAAGGAGUCUAACAUCUAUGCGAGUGUUUGGGUGUCAAGCCCGAACGCGUAAUGAAAGUGAACGGAGGUGGGAACCCGCAAGGGUGCACCAUCGACCGAUCCUGAUGUCUUCGGAAGGAUUUGAGUAAGAGCAUGGCUGUUGGGACCCGAAAGAUGGUGAACUAUGCUUGAAUAGGGUGAAGCCAGAGGAAACUCUGGUGGAGGCUCGCAGCGGUUCUGACGUGCAAAUCGAUCGUCAAAUUUGGGCAUAGGGGCGAAAGACUAAUC
rnacentral:rRNA from 1 species